GCCGGCGAUGGUUCAUUCAAAUUUCUGCCCUAUCAACUUUCGAUGGUAGGAUAGUGGCCUACCAUGGUUUCAACGGGUAACGGGGAAUUAGGGUUCUAUUCCGGAGAGGGAGCCUGAGAAACGGCUACCACAUCCAAGGAAGGCAGCAGGCGCGCAAAUUACCCAAUCCCGACACGGGGAGGUAGUGACAAUAAAUACUGAUACAGGGGCUCAUACGAGUCUUGUAAUUGGAAUGAGUACAAUUUAAAUCCCUUAACGAGGAACAAUUGGAGGGCAAGUCUGGUGCCAGCAGCCGCGGUAAUUCCAGCUCCAAUAGCGUAUAUUAAAGUUGUUGCAGUUAAAAAGCUCGUAGUUGAACCUUGGGUCUGGGUGACCGGUCUGCCUCACCGCAUGCACUGGGAACCCGGACCUUUCCUUCUGGCAAACCUCAUGCCCUUCACUGGGUGUGUUGGGGAACCAGGACUUUUACUUUGAAAAAAUUAGAGUGUUCAAAGCAGGCAUCUGUCGAAUACAUUAGCAUGGAAUAAUAGAAUAGGACGUGCGGUUCUAUUUGUGGUUUCUAGGACCGCCGUAAUGAUUACUAGGGAUAGUCGGGGGCAUCCGUAUUCAAUUGUCAGAGGUGAAAUUCUUGG
rnacentral:rRNA from 1 species